rnacentral:rRNA from 1 species
CGGUCUCGCCGAAUGCAUCUAGAUUAGAGUUUGAUCAUGGCUCAGCAUUGAACGCUGGCGGCAGGCCUAACACAUGCAAGUCGAGCGGAUGACGGGAGCUUGCUCCUUGAUUCAGCGGCGGACGGGUGAGUAAUGCCUAGGAAUCUGCCUGGUAGUGGGGGGUAACGUUUCGAAAGGAACGCUAAUACCGCAUACGUCCUACGGGAGAAAGCAGGGUGACCUUCGGGCCUUGCGCUAUCAGAUGAGCCUAGGUCGGAUUAGCUAGUUGGUGGGGUAAUGGCUCACCAAGGCGACGAUCCGUAACUGGUCUGAGAGGAUGAUCAGUCACACUGGANACUGAGACACGGUCCAGACGUCUUCCGUACGGUGAUGGCAGCAGUGGGGGGAAUAUUGGACAAUGGGCGAAAGCCUGAUCCAGCCAUGCCGCGUGUG